rnacentral:rRNA from 1 species
GUUGACCUCGGAUCAGGUAGGGAUACCCGCUGAACUUAAGCAUAUCAAUAAGCGGAGGAAAAGAAACCAACAGGGAUUGCCCUAGUAACGGCGAGUGAAGCGGCAACAGCUCAAAUUUGAAAUCUGGCGUCUUCGGCGUCCGAGUUGUAAUUUGUAGAGGAUGCUUCUGGGCAGCCACCGGUCUAAGUUCCUUGGAACAGGACGUCAUAGAGGGUGAGAAUCCCGUAUGCGACCGGAAAGGCACCCUCCACGUAGCUCCUUCGACGAGUCGAGUUGUUUGGGAAUGCAGCUCUAAAUGGGAGGUAAAUUUCUUCUAAAGCUAAAUACUGGCCAGAGACCGAUAGCGCACAAGUAGAGUGAUCGAAAGAUGAAAAGCACUUUGGAAAGAGAGUUAAAAAGCACGUGAAAUUGUUGAAAGGGAAGCGUUUGCAACCAGACUUGCUCGCGGUGUUCCGCCGGUCUUCUGACCGGUUCACUCGCCGCGUUGCAGGCCAGCAUCGUCUGGGGCCGCCGGAUAAGACCUUGGUAAUGUAGCUCCUCCUCGGGGGAGUGUUAUAGACCAUGUUGAUGCGGCGCGUCCCGGGCGAGGUCCGCGCUUCGGCUAGGAUGCUGGCGUAAUGGUUGUAAACGGCCCGUCUUGAAACACGGACCAAGGAGUCUAACAUCUAUGCGAGUGUUCGGGUGUCAAACCCCUACGCGUAAUGAAAGUGAACGGAGGUGGGAACUUUAUUGUGCACCAUCGACCGAUCCUGAUGUCUUCGGAUGGAUUUGAGUAAGAGCAUAGCUGUUGGGACCCGAAAGAUGGUGAACUAUGCCUGAAUAGGGUGAAGCCAGAGGAAACUCUGGUGGAGGCUCGCAGCGGUUCUGACGUGCAAAUCGAUCGUCAAAUUUGGGUAUAGGGGCGAAAGACUAAUCGAACCAUCUA